UGGGUGACGGGGAAUAUAAACUCUGGCCCUUGGGUCAAGCUAGCUGGCUACCUAUUUUGUGAGACAUCAGUUCUACUCAGCUCCGUGAAGACCCAGUUAAAAGGAGCGGCUCAGAGUUCCCUGCCCAUUUGGGAGCCACUGGUGACUUCCCAGAGUCAGCGAGGCCUUCUCAGUUUGGGGAGUUAGGGCUCCGCAGCGCCUCCCACAGUUGACAGCCACAUGUUGUGCAGUCUGGAUGGAAAAACCCGACUCUUAUCUUUGGGUCUCCGAAGAGCUUUAACGGAUUUUUAAGAAUU